rnacentral:lncRNA from 1 species
AGUGGCUGGAGUGGAAGUGAGGAAGAGGGAGAGCUCCUGGGCACCAGAAUGAAUGGGGAGGGUCCUUUAGGGCACUGUGAGGCCAUUAGCUUUUACUCCUACUGAGACUGGACAUCCCAGGAGAGUUUCAGAGCAGAGAAGUGCUAUGACUGCUCUUGAAGUUUAAGAGGACCAGGUGGCUGGCUUUGCUGUGUGUCAGAGAACAGGAGCAGAAACAGGGAGACCAGCUGGGAGGUGACUGCAAAAGUCCAGGUGAGAGGCGAUGGAGCUAGUGAGGAGUGCCGGAGGCCUGGUGUAUUCUGACGUGUAUCAUCUUUCUUGCUGCCCUUGAAGAGUGGUGUCCAGUGAAUCUUUCAAAGAAUGAUACUGAGCUUCAUUGUUGAUGAACAAAAAUGCAAAUCUCACCCAGAGCAUGCAGGAACAUGCUAUAAUCACUACACUCCUAGAAUGUGAUCUCUUUCAAUAUUGACUGCAUCCAUGCCUUCCACACACUUGCACCAGUUGGGAGGAUGGAGAUGUCAUCUGGGCAGAGGGAGAAGAGCAGUACCAUUCAGAGGUCUGUCCCUCUUAAGAUAUAUUCUCUCUGUCAACCUAGAACUCAAAGGGCUGUGUGAAAAGUUUACUGUGGAAAAAGAAAUUGAAAAAACUGCCACUAAGUAGCAAUGGAAGGACUUUUCCCGCUAAGAUGAGGAACUGCUCAGAUCACCAGCUGCUUCAGGUUACCAGCCCACACCUGUCUGUCUCACCUCUGACAACCUUGAUAUAAAUUAAACAAUGAAUAAGAACAAAAACAAUUUAAAACUGCGUAAUGGUCCAAACCACCAUGGAUGGUGUUCUGACGAUGAUACACGGGGUGAGGUCUGACUCAUGAGCCGCUGUCCGUGAUGACUUGACAUUCUCAAAAGGAAAUCCCGAAUGUUCUCACUGCAUGCUGCUGCAGGCCCUCAUGGCAGGGCAUCCACACCACUGGCUCAGGUGCUGGUUGCUCCAGAAUCUCUCUUCAGCUGGCCUUUUUCUACUGAACUGUCUGUGAGAACAUCACUGCAGGCACGGUUUUCUCCAACCAUAAUUGCUGCUGCCAAAGCCACCUCGGACUUGGGAAAGGGUAAACAACUCCACUAGACAUGUGCACUCCAGCAGAAACAACACUCCACUAGAGAGCGUAGAAUCUUAGAAUUCAUCUACUUCAUUCUCCUCCUGGUACUCUACUUUCUUCUACAACGUCCCAGCCGAGCUGAGGUCUGAGCUGUGCUGCUCAAGGCUGUCCCAUGUGAAUACAGAUGCGGAGACCCUGUAAGGGUAACAGAGGAAGCUGUGAACCCAGGGGAAGAAGAUAAACUUGUGGACAUAUGUGCAAGGAGCAAUUUUAAGUAUAUUGCACUAACCAACUCAUGAUCUGUAACUCCUUUGUUAAGGAAAAGAAUGUAUAUCUACGUCAAACUUCCAUUUCAGAAAGCCGAGGUCAAAAUAAUGAGUCCUGGGGAAUUCAAACUUGUGUUAAGAAAAUGUGUCCCAGUGUGCAAUGGCUGCAAACAGCAGCUUCCUUGGUAGUGUAUGCAGCCUGUUUGUUGUACGGGUUGCUCUAAAGGGCCUUGGAGACAGUCCUUUCAGAUGGAUGUACAUGUUUUUGACCUUGCACUACCCCAGUGUAGGCUCCAAACAGGCAUGCGAGGUGCCUUUGGAAAGCCCCGGGGCACUGUGGCCAGUUGGCCAAGUUAUCAUCUCCAUCCGCACCAAGCUGCAGAACAAGGAGCACGUGAUUGAGGCCCUGGGCAGGGCCAAGUUCAAGUUUCCUGGCUGCCAGAAGAUCCACAUCUCAAAGAAGUGGGGCUUCACCAAGUUCAAUGCCAAUGAAUUUGAAGACAUGGUGGCUGAGAAGCGGCUCAUCCCAGAUGGCUGUGGGGUCAAGUACCUUCCCAGUUGUGGCCCUCUAGAGAAGUGGUGGGCCCUGCACUCAUGAGGGCUUUCACUGUGCUUCCCCCUCUUAAUACUCACCAAUAAAUUCUACUUCCUGUCCACCUAAAAAAAAAAAAAAAGAAAAAGAAUGCUUUAACUUCAAUUACCCCUCUCUCUUAUGUACGUUUAGUCUGUUAUUUUAGUUUUAUCCUGAUUCCCUCGCAUAAACAUUAUUAUUAUAUUAAAAAAAAGAAAAGAAAAGAAAAUGUGUAGAGCCGGGCACGGUGGCUCAUGCCUGUAAUCCUAGCACUUUGGGAGGCUGAGGUAGGCGGAUCACAAGGUCAAGAGAUCCAGACCAUCCUGGCCAAUAUGGUGAAACCCCGUCUCUACUAAAAAUACAAAAAUUAGCCGGACGUGGUGGUGCAUGCCUGUAAUCCCAGCUACUCAGGAGGCUGAGGCAGGAGAAUUGCUUGAACCUGGGAGACGGAGAUGCAGUGAGCCAAGAUCAUGCCACUACACUCCAGCCUGGGCAACAGAGUGAGACUCCACCUCAAAAACAACAACAACAAUGACAACAACCCCAAAAACAAACAUGAAUAAAUAUCAUUCUCCAAUAAAAUCAUUCAUGCCAGUUAGGGAACCAGUUAGGAGGUUGUUACUGGAAACCAGGUGAAAGAGAUUUUAUUGGAGAAUGAUAUUUAUUCAUGUUUUCCCUAAUGAACCCUUUAACUUUACUCCAGUUACCCUUAAGAUUGAGUUCAAGCCCUUGGUAUGGCUGACAACACUCAGUGAGAUACGGCCCUGGUCUCCUAAUCCAAUCCCAUCUUUUUCCUCUGUCCCCUCUUUCACCAACUUCUUUCAGUUCUUUGAACAGGAAACCCUUUGUUUUUACUCCUUUACAUCAGUUGCUCCCUUAAAAACUCUUCCUCAUUCCCUACUCUGCCCUGUUUUAGGUUUCAGCUUAGAGUAAUUUUCUCCAGGAGGUUUCCCGCUGGCCUCCCCAAUGGGAGUUAGUGGCGGUCAAAGCAUGCUGUUCUCAUCACAGCCCUUAGAGCACUGUAUUGCAAAAGCCAUUUCAGUUGUCUACGUCUUCUGCUAGAUUGGGGGUUUCUUGGUCUUUCUUGUUUACCAUUGUAUCCCCGCAGCUAGCAUAGUUCUAGCUUGGGAUUAGGUGCUCAAUAAGAACCUGAUGAAUGGCCAGACAGAUGAAUGAAAGAAGGUUUUCCUUUUCUGACAAGAGAAGGUGGUGAAUGGAAUAGUUGGGAAAAAAUGUAGUGGCUAAAAAUAAAGCAAAUAAACUUUUUCUUACCUUUGACCAGCUAUAUUUUUCUUAAAAUAGGGAAAAAACCAAAAACAAAACACUGAGAAAAGUGUUUGCUGAUUGGUUAGUUUUAAAUUUUUCCACCAAUGAAAUAUUACUGCUAUGUGCCUGUUGCUUCUGUUUUCUUUUCUAUUAAUAUCAUGGGCUUUUUUUUUUUCACAAAGGAAUUUGUUAUAAAAGGACAUUAUUCAAGGUAUCACUGUAUAGAACCUGACAUUUGUAAAUGGUAACAUUCAGUGAAUAUAAUCACUUAAACUCCAGAGUAGAUAAUAUACAUAUAUAUUGAAACCUAGAGGCCUGGGGUUUGGUCUUGUUUGUAUCAUUAUCUGUGUAACUAGCAUUAGGACAUUAAACUUUCUAUGUUUCAUUGCAUUUAAGUAAAUGCAUCAUCUUCAAAAUGAACUGAUGCCUUUUCUGAUAUCUCACAUGUGAAGAUAUAAUGAAAUGACUCAUAUAACAAUACUGUAAGCUACUCUGUAAAACAUAGGUACCAAGAAGUGUGAUAGGAAGGGUAACGGCCCAGAAGCUAGGUUGCCAGUAGCUAGUCCCAUUCAUACUGAUAAUUAUCUACUUUUUCUCUAUUGUCUUCUUAUCAAACAAAAUAAAACAUAAGAUAAGAAGGUUACACAGAAUGUUGUUUUGAGAUUCCUUUUAGACUUUAUCUUUUAAAAUUAUUAUUAUUAUACUUUAAGUUUUGGGAUACAUGUGCAGUACGUGCAGGUUUGUUAGAUAGGCAUACACAUGCCAUGGUGGUUUGAUGCACCCAUCAACCCGUCACCUACAUUAGGUAUUUCUCUUAAUGCUAUCCCUCCCCUAGCUCCCCACCCCAUGACAGGCCCUGGUGUGUGAUGUUCCCCUCCCUGUGUCCAUGUGUUCUCAUUGUUCAACUUCCGC